rnacentral:misc_RNA from 1 species
AGUCUCUGGUGAUGUUUCUGGAUCUGCAGACUCCUCUGUAUCCUGCAGUGGAGUAUCAUCUUCUUCUGCUCCUUCUGCAAAAUCCUUCUCUGCCUUCUUCUCAUGUUGUUCUUCUUCUACUCUCUCCAAGGGAGGCAAGUCCUCGGAGGAGAUCGGCGGAGGGUGACCUUCGGUCUUCAGAGGUAUUUUCCUGCCAAAGAGCUUGAUGGCGGGGUCCCUAGUAGCUUUUUCUUGCAUUUUCCUUUAGUUUCUGGAUAAGCAAACAGAAAAAAAAACGCGCGAGAGAAAUCUUGCUUUUGAUGGCUUCUUUGUUGGCGAUCUGGCAUGGAACGUACUUUGGUGUCUCAGUUUUUGAUCCGUUUAAAUGAGAAGCGGAUGCCACAUCAGCAUUAUAGUUUGUUUCUCAGCCAC